ACGGCUGGGACGCGGCGCACGCCGUCUGUCUGCAGCUGGCGGGCGGCUGCGCGGGCGCCAGCUGCCUGUUCGGCUGCACGGCGCUGGGCGGCUCGUUCGCGUGCGGCUGCCCGGCGGGCUACGCGCUGGUGGGCGCGGGCCACUGCCUGUCGGCGCUGGACGGCGCGCUGGCGCCCGGCGACAUCGGCGACGCGCCCGUGUUCCCCGUGCGCGACCAGUACAAGGUCGGCGGCCACGGCGACCUCAUCUCCACCGAGGGCUGCUUCAGCUGCAAGAUAAAUGGACGCAGACGUCGAGCACCAGAUGAAGGUAUCAUAUUUGCAAAUGGAACCACCGUUGUCAGGCAUCGUAAGAGGCGUAGCAGACGUCGUCGUUCCCUCCUGGAACCGGAAGCAGAACUAAUAGUAGUGAAAGCGACCCCCAAGCAAACAUGGGGACGAGCGCCGCUACUGAGGCUGGUGCCGGCCGCAGGGGAUGGACACCCGCACUACCGCAUCGCGUAUGGCGACCCUGACAGAGACUUCGUACUGUCCAAGCGGGACGGCACGUGGGCGCUGCGGUUGAGGAAACACCUCAAGUCGAAAGAAACCCUGGAGCGCCAGCUCGAGUUAGAAGCUCGCUUUGUGACGCCGCCCGGCUCCGUCCGCGGAAAACGGCAUAUUGAAGACGCGCCCGCACCUCUGCGACUCUAUGUGUCCGUGCGUGUGGUGCCCUCGGGCUGACCGUGGGCGGAGCGUGGGUGGAUCGUGGGCGGAUAGUGGGCAGGUGGGCUUUCCCAAUGCUCGUGAACCUUAUGCACACCAGUGACGAUGUGCUGCCGUGCGAGUGUUAGUUAUUGUACAUAAGAUAUGAAAGCUGGGCUCCUAUAUUUAGAAAACAAUUAGUUUUACCCACAAAAAGUGAAAUUUGUAACACGACAUGUUCGAUACUUCGUUCGUGAAAAAGAGUGAUAUUUAUUUUAAAUAUAGGAACCAAGCAUAGGUGAGUUACAGUCCGGUUCCAAUAUUAAAAAACGAUUCGUUUUGUUCAAAAUUUCGCACACCUACUGGUCGAAGUCGAACGGUUUUUUCGCACAGAAAUUCGAAAGCAGAACAGAGUUCGUAAGCAGAACGAAUCAUUUUCGAAUAUGGGAACCGGGCUUAAAAGCACUGCCAUAUUAAAAAACGAGUCAAUUCCUGAAUCACUGCCGUUUAUUUUAUUGAUAUUCGUUUGCUUCGUCAAAAAUAUUCGUCUCUGCAUAAUGAAGGUUCGCGUAAUGUUUAGUUAGGUCUUUUGAAUAUGCGAUUACACACUUAUAUAGACACACUACGUACGUUAACUAAUAUUAACUUAUCUGAGUGUUUGAAAAUUUACCGUUACAUAUAGUACAGCGCCAUCUAUUACGAGACUAGUGAAACUUUAAUUUAUAAAUAAGAUUUUAUAACAAAGUUUUCAUUAAUGAUGAUAGACCAAGAUGAAUAAUAAAUAUAUAAUGUAAUGAUCGCAUAUCGAUAGGUUUAGGAUCGUCGAUUACUCGAGUCUGAGACGAUCUCGUCGGCAGUAUUAAUUAUGUGAGGUGAUUGAAUGCAUAAUACCUAGAUCUAGUUUAGGUCUCCGUACCGUACUAAGCGUCCCUCUGUAGGGGUUAAAAAGGGUUUUUUAAGUAUAGUAUCGCUAUAAUCCAGUAUCGAUUGUAUUGUCGGUUUGAUUAAAGCAAUCGUAAAAAUCAUUCGUUUAUUAUCAAUAUCGAUAUAUCGUUUUCCAUUUUUUUUAAUAUACGCCAUUUUUAUGUGCCAGUGUUUAGAAAUAACUUUUGUUUAAUAGCAUAAUAUUUAAGGAAAUUAUUUAUUUUACACUUUUUCAAUUUUAAAUAAUGACUUCGUGAAAUAUAAUUUUUAACGGUACUCUUGUUAUGUAUGCUUCAAUAACUGUGUAAGGUUUUUUUUUAAGAAUGCAAUAGAUAUGUUUUAUUUUGUAAAUAUGUGCAUAUAAAUGAAUAUAAUUAAUAUAAAGUAUAUUGUUCGUUAUAUAACAAUGUUUUAACUUAGGUUUUAAUUCGAAGUGGCAAAUUUUUAAAUUAAAAAAUAAACAAAUUUUAAAAUUUUUAAU
rnacentral:misc_RNA from 1 species